rnacentral:lncRNA from 1 species
AUGGACUUCCUAAACAUGUUGAGACUUAGUAAUUUGCUUCUCAUUCAAUCUUUUUGUAUAACGUUGGCCUUCGACAAUUUUGCAUGCCUGGAGAACCAAUAGAACACCAGAAUAAGCAAAAACACCGAUUAAGUUGAAUAGUUACAUCAAUUACAAGGUGCUUUCCAAACCUCCAUAGGUAAGUAGUUAGCCUUCUUUUGGUUGCCUACUUGAAGGCAAGGAAGGUGUGUGUAUUGAAUAGUGAAACCAUACAUCUCUUGAAAGUAUUCGACUACUGACUUCAUUGUUGAAUUCUCAUCCACAGGAAACCUAAAUUCUCUUGUUGGUUGAGAAGUC